rnacentral:tRNA from 1 species
GGGCCGUUAGCUCAGUCGGUAGAGCAUCUGACUUUUAAUCAGGUGGUCGCUGGUUCGAAUCCAGCACGGCCCACCA